AUACGGAGGGUGCAAGCGUUAAUCGGAAUUACUGGGCGUAAAGCGUACGUAGGCGGUUAUUUAAGUCAGAUGUGAAAGCCCCGGGCUUAACUUGGGAACUGCAUUUGAAACUGGGUAACUAGAGUUUAUUAGAGGGGAGUGGAAUUUCAGGUGUAGCGGUGAAAUGCGUAGAGAUCUGAAGGAACACCAGUGGCGAAGGCGACUCCCUGGACUAAAACUGACGCUGAGGUACGAAAGCGUGGGUAGCAAACAGGAUUAGAAACCCUAGUAGUCC
rnacentral:rRNA from 1 species